rnacentral:lncRNA from 1 species
CCGGCUCAAGACACAGGACAAUAUACAAAAAUAUUCAAAGCAUGAAACAUGAUAAAACUAACAUAGAUACAACAUCCACAAAAGUAAUGUACGAUACCAAACAAAAGACACCAAAACCCUUCCAACUACGGACUACGAUUCAUCCACCCACCUUAUCCCUCUAUCCUAGUGUUUUUCCUCCAAACCUUCCUAUCCAGGGUCAUGUCCUCAGUGAGACGUAACUGCUCCAUGUCACGUCUAAUCACUUCUCUCUAGUAUUUCUUCGGUCUACCCCUACCCCGCUUGAAACCAUCUAACAC